UGAGCAAUCUGCCCUUCUCAUCGGAAUAAGCGUUGGAAACGACGUCUAAUGCCGAAUACGACCUCCUUUCGCAUGAUCGGAGGUGGAAAGCUCCGGCGGUGAAGGAUGAGCUCGCGGCCUAUCAGCUUGUUGGUGAGGUAAUAGCUCACCAAGGCGACGACGGGUAGCCGGCCUGAGAGGGUGACCGGCCACACUGGGACUGAGACACGGCCCAGACUCCUAGGGAGG
rnacentral:rRNA from 1 species